GAAGAGCACAGCGACGAGACACGGCUGGCACCAGCAGCAUCCCCGCAGGAGGGAACUGGCUUAGCUCCUCCAGCAGCAAGGAAGUGCCAAUAAGCAGAGCAAAACACUGCAAGAGCCCACCCUCCUCUGUUUUCUCACAUGAGUGAUGGCAAACCCAUGAACUAAGAUAUCUCAAACUUCUGUCAGCUAAUGCCUAACAGGGCAAGGAGACAGUGGCUCAGUCUCCAAGGGCCCAGGCACACCAAAGGACUGCUCAAGAGCAGGAGGAGCCUGAGGAUAAAGAAGGAAGCAGAGAUCCUCCUUCAGUGGGAAUGGGAAAUGUUCUUCCUCCCUCCCAGCCCCAGCCUGCUGUCACUGCUGUUAGCCAUGAUAUGCCAACACCUAUUUAAAUAGUGUGCAAGCAUUGCACAAGCCUUGUUCUGACUUCCUACACAAGGCACCCUGGAAGUCCCCACAAAUAUGCAACCGGAGUAUGAGAAAACAGUUUGUAAAAUGAAGAACUCGAGUACGCACAGAGCGGGGGAUGCUCUGGUUUGUCAGGGCGGGCUUUUUUUUCCUCUUAUCAAGUGAGAAAGAAGGGAACUUUGAUCAGGAUUGCAUUUUUGCUAAGGAAGCAAGAGCUUGUUAGAGAUUCACAAAAGAAAAAGCAAUCAGUUCAGAGCCAGCUCGUAAACAAACGUUAAAGUCAGAAGUCUGUAUCAGUGAUUCACAAGAAAAAAAUCCUAGAGUCACCACUGCAGCUUGGAAGCAAAGCGCUCUUCUCAUGUCUGAUUUUGUUUGGGAUUUGGCCAAGUCCUUUUGUCUCUGUUUUUCUGCAAACACUAAACAAACUAGGAGUGAAAACUGGAGACAGAAUGAAACUACCAUCUUCAAGAAACCUGCAGCCUGCAGGAAUUGCUGAAGGACAAAGAGUGUCCAAGGACAGCAGUCAGGCGCUUGGAGAAAAGAAAGCAGUGCUGAAGCAGGGAAGGAAGGAGAAGACAAGGAAGCCUCAACUAACAGCCUGGGGUUUGGGAGGAUUCAAGUACCCUUAGGCUUCACAGCUUUCAUCUGCUGCAAUAAAAUAGUGACAACAGCAGUAAAUUGGGACUGAAAGUCUUCAUUUACACAGUUGAGCAGAGCAGACCCCAAGGCAGUUUGGAGACACAUUACUGACAUGCAGGAGCACCCUGCAGCCAGCUCUGGCAGGGACAGGCAUUAACUGGCUAUUCUCUUUUCUGAUACCUGCUCUCCAGGGCUCUGCUUUGCUGUGUCUCCACGUGGUUGCAGACCAAAAUGGUGAUGGCAUCUGAAGGUAUUCUCCAGCCCUCUGCAUCAAUCUACAAUCCCACAUCUUAUUGCUGCAUUAUACUGAGAACAUACAUGAGAAAAUGCACUUUUCCGUGCCUAGCUGGAAUCUGACCAUUUUAAUCACCUGAGCUUGUGAACAGCACCAUUGACUCCAUGGGUGGCAGAAACCAGCUCCCAGUCCAUGGGCACUGGUGCAAGAAAUUAAGAUGAAUUCAGUGACUGCACACAGGGAGUGGAAAGAAAAUGAUACAGCCUGGCCUCAUCUCAUAUGUCUAUGGAAUAUUAAAAAAAAAAAAAGUGCUAAAUCUUUAAAAUCCCCAGCCAGAAAUGUUAGAAAAAUACUCAACUCAGAGGCAAGGAUUGCCAGGAGAGGCAGUACUUUUGUUAACCAGACAGCAGGGCUCCUUCCCCUGCUCUUUGCCCAAAGGCAGUAUUCCCUAACCAUUUCUUCGAGACCCUUUAUGUAUUACUCACAGUAAAUCAGAGGCUCUGCUGCUGCUGAGAUAUAAGCUGGCAGGGCGUACGCUGCCUGCAGUGCAUUUCUUCCUCAGUGCUAUUAGCUAGCACUCAGCAAUGCCUGGGCCACGUAGCAAGCCCUCGAAGAUGAGCCUCCUUCCUUAAUGCUGAGAGAUCAGUGCCUCCUUCGGGCAGCAGCCCCAGCUCCUGCAGCUAGUGUUAAGUGCCUGUGAACAUCUGUAAUCAGUGCUGCCUGGCACGGCAUCCCCCAUGAAACUCCUGCAGCAAGGCAUGAUUUCAAACCUCUGUCAGCAAUUGGCCGCGGCUUGCAGCUGCUUUGCGCUGCCUGCUCGGGCAGGCGGCUGAGCUGCAAAAGGUCAAGGCACAGCUGAGCCAUCCUGCUGCCCAAACAGCCCUGAGGUCCAGCUCCCUUCACCUCUGCACUGCUGAGCUCAGUUCCCUGCACAGAUUCCAGCUCUGGCUAUGGCAGCGCCGCUCGCCGUGGGGUGACUCAGCUGCAGGACUCCUACCAGCACGCGUGGGUACCUCACCCCCAAACUGCAGGGCUG